CCUACGGGAGGCAGCAGUGGGGAAUCUUAGACAAUGGGCGCAAGCCUGAUCUAGCCAUGCCGCGUGAGUGACGAAGGCCUUAGGGUCGUAAAGCUCUUUCGCUGGGGAAGAUAAUGACUGUACCCAGUAAAGAAGUCCCGGCUAACUCCGUGCCAGCAGCCGCGGUAAUACGGAGGGGACUAGCGUUGUUCGGAAUUACUGGGCGUAAAGCGCGCGUAGGCGGAUUAGCCAGUCAGAGGUGAAAUCCCAGGGCUCAACCCUGGAACUGCCUUUGAUACUGCUAGUCUUGAGUUCGAGAGAGGUGAGUGGAAUUGCGAGUGUAGAGGUGAAAUUCGUAGAUAUUCGCAGGAACACCAGUGGCGAAGGCGGCUCACUGGCUCGAUACUGACGCUGAGGUGCGAAAGUGUGGGGAGCAAACAGGAUUAGAUACCCUGGUAGUCCACACCGUAAACGAUGAAUGCCAGACGUCGGCAAGCAUGCUUGUCGGUGUCACACCUAACGGAUUAAGCAUUCCGCCU
rnacentral:rRNA from 1 species